CAAAACAAGGCCUAGAGUAACCCACCAGCCUCACAAGUACAAAUAUAGAUCAUGGAGCCUCUCUGGUUAGCAAAGUCGGGGAGAUACUGGAUACCACUGCAGGCUCUUAGCUGCCGUGAAAAAGUUGAAUGUUCUUUCCCCUGGAAGUUAGAAAUAGAAUGUGUUCCUCCUUAAAUGUUUCAGAGCUUUAGGGGUAUAUGUUUGAUUCCCUUCCUCAUCCUUCUCCCUCCCCAAGUAGCAAAUCUUAGGAAUGGCUCACGCUCCCUUCUUUCCAGUCAGACGGUAGGGAUGGCUGAGCUGUGGAGACCAUGACUUUCCCAUCUGGGAUCCAGAAUAAGUUAAUCAUAGACAUCAUCCUGGUGUUAUCACUUGGUAUUGAAAUUGGACUGAAAAUGUACAUGAAGUCUGGGAACAGUCUGUAAAUGUCUGAGGUGGUAAGAUUUUGACUUUAUCAGCUUGUCCGCUAAGGUUGCCCAGAAAUGGCAGCCACUUGUGAGUUCUAUCUUUUUCUUUAUAAACUGUCCAUAUUGUGCUCAUUCUGUUUUCUUAUCUAUUAUUCAUGCUGAUUACUUCAUUUCCCUGUUCUUUGCCUCCCUUUGGACUAGCAUGCCCAACUAAUUUCUGAAACAGUGCAAAGAGGAGAUUAUUACAAAAGACAUUCAGAUCAUGACAGUGGCAAGCCUUCCAGUAGAGGGAAAAGAUCUUCAAAACUGUACUCCACCAUUGCAGAAGAGGAAGUGAAUGCAAUUGGGCACAGGAAGUCACAGCCAACAAAUGGUUAGAGCCUUCGAUUAUCAUCCCUCACUGACCCGAAGCUUAUG
rnacentral:lncRNA from 1 species